CGAAAGCCUGACGGAGCAACGCCGCGUGAGGGACGAAGGCCUCUGGGCUGUAAACCUCUUUUCUCAAGGAAGAAGAACUGACGGUACUUGAGGAAUAAGCCACGGCUAAUUCCGUGCCAGCAGCCGCGGUAAUACGGGAGUGGCAAGCGUUAUCCGGAAUUAUUGGGCGUAAAGCGUCCGCAGGCGGCCUUGAAAGUCUGUCGUUAAAGCGUGGAGCUUAACUCCAUUUCAGCGAUGGAAACUGUGAGGCUUGAGUGUGGUAGGGGCAGAGGGAAUUCCCGGUGUAGCGGUGAAAUGCGUAGAUAUCGGGAAGAACACCAGUGGCGAAGGCGCUCUGCUGGGCCAUAACUGACGCUCAUGGACGAAAGCCAGGGGAGCG
rnacentral:rRNA from 1 species